CCGCCCUGCUCGCUCAGCUGAUCUGUGGCUUAGGUAGUUUCAUGUUGUUGGGAUUGAGUUUUGAACUCGGCAACAAGAAACUGCCUGAGUUACAUCAGUCGGUUUUCGUCGAGGGCCCCAA
ensembl:miRNA MIR196A2 microRNA 196a-2